rnacentral:rRNA from 1 species
UUCGAGGUGGGCGGACGGGUGAGUAACGCGUGGUAACCUGCCUUACACAGGGGGAUAACACCUGGAAACAGGUGCUAAUACCGCAUAAGCGCACAGGGCCGCAUGGCCCGGUGUGAAAAACUCCGGUGGUGUAAGAUGGACCCGCGUCUGAUUAGCUUGUUGGCGGGGUAGGGGCCCACCAAGGCGACGAUCAGUAGCCGGCCUGAGAGGGUGGACGGCCACAUUGGGACUGAGACACGGCCCAAACUCCUACGGAAGGCAGCAG